CGCGUGGGAAUCUACCCGAUAGUGGGGGACAACUUGGGGAAACUCAAGCUAAUACCGCAUAUUACCUAAGGGUGAAAGGUGGCCUCUACUUGUAAGCUAUCGCUAUCGGAUGAGCCCGCGUUAGAUUAGCUAGUUGGUGAGGUAAAAGCUCACAAAGGCGACGAUCUAUAGCUGGUCUGAGAGGAUGAUCAGCCACACUGGGACUGAGACACGGCCCAGACUCCUACGGGAGGCAGCAGUGGGGAAUAUUGGACAAUGGGCGCAAGCCUGAUCCAGCAAUGCCGCGUGUAUGAAGAAGGC
rnacentral:rRNA from 1 species